rnacentral:rRNA from 1 species
GAGACCCACGCCAACAGUUGCCAGCUCGUCCUCCGGGAUGGAGGGGACACUGUUGGGACCGCCUCUGCUAAAGAGGAGGAAGGAAUGGGCAACGGUAGGUCAGCAUGCCCCGAAUUAUCCGGGCUACACGCGGGCUACAAUGGGUGGGACAAUGGGUAUCGACACCGAAAGGUGAAGGCAAUCUCCUAAACCCAUCCUUAGUUCGGAUUGUGGGCUGCAACUCGCCCACAUGAAGCUGGAAUCCGUAGUAAUCGUGUUUCAAAAUAGCACGGUGAAUAU